GCGCUGGUAGCUCAGCGGAUAGAGCGCAGCCCUGCGGAGGCUGAGGCCGUGGGUUCGAGUCCCACUCAGCGCGCCA
rnacentral:tRNA from 2 species